rnacentral:rRNA from 1 species
UUUGCUGACGAGUGGCGGACGGGUGAGUAAUGUCUGGGAAACUGCCUGAUGGAGGGGGAUAACUACUGGAAACGGUAGCUAAUACCGCAUAACGUCGCAAGACCAAAGAGGGGGACCUUCGGGCCUCUUGCCAUCGGAUGUGCCCAGAUGGGAUUAGCUAGUAGGUGGGGUAACGGCUCACCUAGGCGACGAUCCCUAGCUGGUCUGAGAGGAUGACCAGCCACACUGGAACUGAGACACGGUCCAGACUCCUACGGGAGGCAGCAGUGGGGAAUAUUGCACAAUGGGCGCAAGCCUGAUGCAGCCAUGCCGCGUGUAUGAAGAAGGCCUUCGGGUUGUAAAGUACUUUCAGCGGGGAGGAAGGGAGUAAAGUUAAUACCUUUGCUCAUUGACGUUACCCGCAGAAGAAGCACCGGCUAACUCCGUGCCAGCAGCCGCGGUAAUACGGAGGGUGCAAGCGUUAAUCGGAAUUACUGGGCGUAAAGCGCACGCAGGCGGUUUGUUAAGUCAGAUGUGAAAUCCCCGGGCUCAACCUGGGAACUGCAUCUGAUACUGGCAAGCUUGAGUCUCGUAGAGGGGGGUAGAAUUCCAGGUGUAGCGGUGAAAUGCGUAGAGAUCUGGAGGAAUACCGGUGGCGAAGGCGGCCCCCUGGACGAAGACUGACGCUCAGGUGCGAAAGCGUGGGGGAGCAAACAGGAUUAGAUACCCUGGUAGUCCACGCCGUAACGAUGUCGACUUGGAGGUUGUGCCCUUGAGGCGUGGCUUCCGGAGCUAACGCGUUAAGUCGACCGCCUGGGGAGUACGGCCGCAAGGUUAAAACUCAAAUGAAUUGACGGGGGCCCGCACAAGCGGUGGAGCAUGU